rnacentral:ncRNA from 1 species
GGCCAAGCCCGGACCAGCGUCGGAACCUUCCUGUGGAAAGCUCAGCUGCGCGGCGUCUGAGGGCUUCGUGCCCAAAGUGCUAUGCUUCGGCCGGCAAAAAACUGUCAACUCAGAACUGGCACGGACCGGGGGAAUCCGACUGUCUAAUUAAAACAAAGCAUUGCGAUGGCCGCUGGUCGGUGUUGACGCAAUGUGAUUUCUGCCCAGUGCUCUGAAUGUCAACGUGAAGAGAUUCAUCAAAGCGCGGGUAAACGGCGGGAGUAACUAGGACAGAGCGGCAGCAUGGCAAGUGCUUUGAACAGCAUAGAAUUGUAUAAUUUGCGCUGAACGAACUGUUUUACGCUCGGAAGCACGUUUGUUUUGAUCGGCCCCGGAGGCAGUGCAAUACCGCGACUAAAGCGGCUAAGGUGAGGUAAAUUGAUUUCUGCU